AUUGAACGCUGGCGGCAUGCCUUACACAUGCAAGUCGAACGGUAACAGGUCUUCGGAUGCUGACGAGUGGCGAACGGGUGAGUAAUACAUCGGAACGUGCCUAGUAGUGGGGGAUAACUACUCGAAAGAGUGGCUAAUACCGCAUGAGAUCUACGGAUGAAAGCAGGGGAUCGAAAGACCUUGCGCUACUAGAGCGGCCGAUGGCAGAUUAGGUAGUUGGUGGGAUAAAAGCUUACCAAGCCGACGAUCUGUAGCUGGUCUGAGAGGACGAUCAGCCACACUGGGACUGAGACACGGCCCAGACUCCUACGGGAGGCAGCAGUGGGGAAUUUUGGACAAUGGGCGCAAGCCUGAUCCAGCAAUGCCGCGUGCAGGAUGAAGGCCUUCGGGUUGUAAACUGCUUUUGUACGGAACGAAAAGCCCUGGGUUAAUACCCUGGGGUCAUGACGGUACCGUAAGAAUAAGCACCGGCUAACUACGUGCCAGCAGCCGCCGUAAGAC
rnacentral:rRNA from 1 species